rnacentral:rRNA from 1 species
UACGUAGGGUGCAAGCGUUAAUCGGAAUUACUGGGCGUAAAGCGUGCGCAGGCGGUUUUGUAAGUCAGAUGUGAAAUCCCCGGGCUUAACCUGGGAACUGCGUUUGAAACUACAAGGCUAGAGUGUGGCAGAGGGGGGUGGAAUUCCACGUGUAGCAGUGAAAUGCGUGGAGAUGUGGAGGAACACCGAUGGCGAAGGCAGCCCCCUGGGUUAACACUGACGCUCAGGCACGAAAGCGUGGGGAGCAAACAGG